rnacentral:lncRNA from 1 species
CUAUAGCUCUGGGGUUUUUGCAGAUUUUCAAAUAAAACUCAGAGAUUCCUUGUAUGAUUCUCUCAGGUCUCUCUUUUGUGGUAUUUUUGGAUCCUUACCAAGGCAUUGAUGGUAUAUGCCUUCUCUCAAGAUAUGUGGUAUUUGUGGUAUAAAGCAUAAUGACAUUAUCUUCUCUCUCACUCUAUUCUAAUAAGGCUUUAAUAUCUGGAGCUCAUAGGUGGGAGAUAAAAUAUACAUACUUACAAGACAUUUAUUGCAUAGUCAAACCGUGGAUCCAAAGAAACAAAUCAAUAAGCCAAAUCAAGAUGUGCAUGUGUGGCGAAUGAAUGGUGUAUGGUGAUGAUGGUGAUAACAAUGGUGAAAACAAUGGUGGUGGAAGUCUAAUUCUACUUUUGCUCUUUAAGGGGAUACAUACCUUCCUUGCUUUUGAAACUUUAUGAGGAGAAUGAGAUGCUCUUCUUUUUUCUUUUCUCUCAGGUGGGUAUCUUGCACCCCUAAUUCUACUGUCGGACACUUGUCCAUUUUUACCUCUCGUCUCACUCUUUUUUUUUCCUUUCGAGGUUCCGAGCACUUGCUCCUUUUUAUUUCCUCAUAUUAUUUCUCUCUUUUUUUUAGAGCAUUCAUCUCUUGAGAUAAUAUAGCAAGUGGUAGUAACAAGAUAACUUGAGCAUUUAUUUCACAAGGGGAAACAGAAAUAUUUUUGGUUAUUCUCUCCUGGAUUAGGAGUAGAAUAUUUUCAGGUGGUUCUGGAGAUGGAAUGGAUGGAUAUAUGUGGAUGGUACUUCCGAAGUAGAAGUAGCAUAUAUGAGUGAACGUGCAAGUGAAAUCUUGAUUUAACCACAUGACAAGCUCCUAAGGGUCUACACAGCUUGACCACACUCAAUGCUCAUAAGCAGUAAAUAAUAAAUGUGUGGCUCAAAGUCUAGCAAGCAUGUAUAUAUGGCUGUGGUAGGAAUUUAAGCUCUCAUCAUACAGGAACUCAUCAUGCA